rnacentral:rRNA from 1 species
UACGUAGGGUGCAAGCGUUAAUCGGAAUUACUGGGCGUAAAGCGUGCGCAGGCGGCUAUGCAAGACAGAUGUGAAAUCCCCGGGCUCAACCUGGGAACUGCAUUUGUGACUGCAUAGCUAGAGUACGGUAGAGGGGGAUGGAAUUCCGCGUGUAGCAGUGAAAUGCGUAGAUAUGCGGAGGAACACCGAUGGCGAAGGCGGCCCCCUGGGCCGGCCCUGACACUGAGACGCGAAGGCGUGGGGAGCGAACGGG